rnacentral:lncRNA from 10 species
GUCAAAGGAGCCACUGUUUGUAGUUAUUUGGGAUCUUUGAGGAAACCCCUGCUAAAAUAACUUGAUUGGAGAUUUUCCUUAGUCUGGACCAAACCUUCCCAUUAUUGGACACAGAUGGUCAGCUAGUAAUCAAUCAUCUAUAAUUAUGCUUUGGAAAAACCUCAUGAGCAAAGACCCUCGACUUGUAGUCAAAGCUACAAUUUAUGUCAAGCAGCUCCAUUAGAUGUCUCAUUUCCCAGCCAUCAGGAGGAGGAAAGAGGGAAUGAAGAACAAGCUUCUUCCUGUGGGUGUGACCCAGAGGUUGUUCGUGUCACUUCUAUUCACAUUUGCUUGUGUAGAACUUACACAAUCAUACUUAACUUCAAGAAAGAUUGGGCAACAUAGUUUAUAGCGGGGAGGAUUUAUGCCCUGAAAUUGAUGGUGUCAUCUUUUCAUCUUCCCUCUCUCACCAUUAGCAUGUAAUCUGUAACUGAAUUUGAACAAUCCAACUUCCAAAUGAUUUCCAUUUUUCUCCAUAUUCCUAACAACACUUUAGUCUAAAGCGUCCUCAUCCUUGCCUAGUUUACUACAAUAACCUAAUUGGUCAGCGUGCUUCCAUUCUUGCCCCACCAAGUCAUUUCUGACACCGUGGCCGCUAAUUCUUAAGAAUAGAAACCAAAUCAUCACUCUUCUUUAAGGCCUUUAGUGUCUAUUUCCAUAGAAUAAAAUCCAUACCCUGCACCAUGAGCCGUAAGACCUGGCAAUGACCUGGCUCUAGUGUACCCAGUGCUAUCCUUGCACCAUGCUUUCCACCAGUCACUAUGUUCUGGCUUCUCUGGCCUCCACCUUUUUCUAGAACACAUUGAUCCUUUCCCCACCUCAGGCCCUUAUCCCUGCUAUUCUUCAUCCUGUAAAACUUUUGCUGGGAUCUCCGCGUGGCUGGCUCGCCCUCAUCUCUUG